AACGAACGCUGGCGGCAUGGCUAAGACAUGCAAGUCGAACGGAUCCCUACGGGGAUUAGUGGCGAAAGGGCGAGGAAUAACUAGGAACGUACCUGAUACUUUGGAAUAGCGUAGGGAAACCUGCAGUAAUGCCAAAUGAUCUCCUUCCGGAGCAAAGAUUUAUCGGUGUCAGAGCGGCCUAGUUCCUAUCAGCUAGUUGGUGAGGUAAUGGCUUACCAAGGCUAAGACGGGUAGCGGGACUGAGAGGUUGGUCCGCCGCAUCGGAACUGAGACACUGUCCGGACCUCCACGGAGGGCUGCAGUAACGAAUAUUGCGCAAUGGACGAAAGUCUGACGCAGCAAUGCCGCGUGUAGGAGGAAGCCCCUCGGGGUGUAAACUACUGUCAGGGACUCGAAAGCUUUUGUUGAUCAGUCCCAGAGGAAGUCACGGCUAACUUCGUGCCAGCAGCCGCGGUAAUACGAAGGUGGCAAGCGUUGUUCGGAAUUAUUGGGCUUAAAGCGCACGUAGGCGGAUUGGUAAGUGUCUUGUGAAAACCCUCGGCUUAACCGAGGAACUGCUCGGCAUACUACCAAUCUUGAGAUAUGUAGGGGCAAGCAGAACUCUUAGUGGAGCGGUGGAAUGCGUAGAUAUUAAGAGGAAUGCCAGUGGUGAAGACGGCUUGCUGGGCAUAUUCUGACGCCGAGGUGCGAAAGCGUGGGUAGCGAACGGGAUUAGAUACCCCGGUAGUCCACGCUGUAAACGAUGUCUACUAGGUUGUGGGGGUUCUGACGCCUUCACGACCAAAGCAAAAGUGUUAAGUAGACCGCCUGGGGAGUACGGUCGCAAGGCUAAAACUCAAAGGAAUUGACGGGGGCUCACACAAGCGGUGGAGCAUGUGGAUUAAUUCGAUGCAACGCGCAGAACCUUACCUAGGUUUGACAUUCUCGGAUGCAACCCAUGAAAGUGGGCUAUGCUACUCUUCGGAGUGGAAACUUGAACAGGUGCUGCAUGGCUGUCGUCAGCCCGUGUCGUGAGAUGUCGGGUUAAGUCCUUUAACGAGCGAAACCCCUACCGUUAGUUGCCAACAGGUAAUGCUGGGGACUCUAGCGGGACUGCCGGUGUUAAACCGGAGGAAGGCGGGGAUGACGUCAAGUCCUCAUGGCCUUUAUACCUAGGGCUUCACACGUGCUACAAUGGGUACUACAGAACGUUGCAAUGUCGCGAGGCGGAGCUAAUCGUUAAAAGUAUCCUCAGUUCGGAUUGUAGGCUGACAACUCGCCUACAUGAAGUUGGAAUCGCUAGUAAUCGCGUAUCAGCUACGACGCGGUGAAUAUGUUCCUGAGCCUUGUACACACCGCCCGUCGAGUGAUGGAAGUCGGGAGUACCCGAAGUCGGAUUGCUAACCCCUCGGGGAGGCGUCUGCCGACGGUAAGUUCGAUGAC
rnacentral:rRNA from 1 species